GAAUCUCAUUCCCAGUCAGGAUCUGAAGAUGUAGGGCUUGGUACAGCAAUUGGUCCUGUAUUUUGGUGAGGUGCACUUUAGCCUAUGAGACAAGGGUGCCUUCAUGCAAGCUGUUGCAUGCUGAGGAAGCGGGGUGCAGACCUGAAGCACAAAGCCAGCAAGGGUUGAGAUCCAGCAAGAAUGCCCAGCAUCAGUCAGAGCAGAACCAGCCCUUCAGUGUAGCUGAUCAAGGCUAAGAA
rnacentral:lncRNA from 1 species